rnacentral:tRNA from 1 species
UAGGCUGAUGCCCGCUGGUUUGGGCGCUUAGCUGUUAACUAAGAGUUCGUGGGAUCGAGGCCCUCUAGCCUAGG